UUUUUUUUUUUUUUUUCCAGGGCCGCCCUUGUGACAUAUGGAGAUUCCCAGGCUAGGGGUCUAAUCGGAGCUGUACCUGCCAGCCCACUCCACAGCCACGGCAACGCAGGAUCCAAGCCACGUCUGAGACCUAAACACAGCUCACAGCAAUGCCAGAUCCUUAACCCACUGAGCAAGGUCAGGGAUUGAACCCGUGUCCUCAUGGAUGCUAGUCAGAUUCGUUAACCGCUGAGCCAUGACGGGAACUUCAACAGUUUUCUUAAGAGAUAGUUGCAAUGUGGAAUCUGAAACCAUGUCAGUGAACAUCUUGUACUCUGUUACAUUAAAAUCCCUUGAUAUUUCUUGCACGUUUACUGGAUCUUUCCCCAUAGAUGAUUUUGUAACAUUGGACCUUGGUAUAUUUGGAAAAUAUUGGUUCACUGAAUUACAGCCAUCUUCUAAAUGUUGACAGAAUUUAUUAUGCAAUAUCAAAAGAUUCCCAUUUGUUAAUAUCACCACCGAUCUUGUCAAAAAAAAAUCUAGCACUAGGAGUUCCUGUUGUGGCUCAGCUGAAACGAAUCCGACUGGCCUCGCUCAGUGAGUAAAGGAUCCAGUAUUGCCAUGAGCUGUGGUGUAGGUGCAGAAGCAGCUUGGAUUCCACAUGGCUCUGGCUGUGGUGUAGGCCAGCAGCUGUAGCUCCGAUUAGAUCCCUAGUCUGGGAACCUCUCUAUGCUGUGGGUGUGGCCCCAAAAAGCAAAAAAAAAAAAAAAAAAAAAUCUAGCAUUAGGAAACUGCCAAGCUCAUAGUGACAUGUAUCAGUUUUCCAAAAUUCCAGUCUUCACUUGAAAGCUCAAAUCUUGUCAUUGACAGCAAAUACCAUCAGUUGUUUCCAGCUGCUUGAAGAGACUAUCUCUUUGUUCAUUUUUGAAAAAAAAAGUCUGUGCCAAAUACCCAUGUGCAAAUAACUGCAGUUUGUCAGUCAUCCUUUCAAGUAAAAAACUGGUGUUUUAUGAAAAAAGUGACUAGUUCAGUUUGCAACUCAAGCACAUGUUCUUCUCCUUGGGUAACCCUUACACUUCCAUAGGCAGCAGAAGAGCUGAAGGUGCAAUUCCCACUCAUCACACAUGAUAUAAAAAGAUGUGUACCUAAUAGUCAAGAUUAGUAUUUUUUCAUAAUUUUUACUGCUCCUAAUGGACCUUUGAAAAUGAAACAGGAGUUUCUGUGUGGCUCAGUAAGUUGAGGAUCCAGCAUUGUCAACUGCAGUGACUUGAGUUCAAUCCCUGGCCCAGGAAUUUGCAAUGCUGUGGGCACAGCUAAAAAAAAACCAAAAAACUCUGUGAUCUUUAAUAAACAGAGGUGAAAAUAAAUAAUGGAGCUAAAAGGUGUUUCCCACAUAUUUAAAGUGGAUCCAAGUUGCUCUGUUCUAGUAGUGUUUAUUGAUUGAUACUAAAAUGCCUGUUAAUGACUUAGUACUUCAAGUUUAUCCAUCAAAUGUAUUCCAUUAAAGUGAAAGUUUAGAAGAAUCUAUCUGAGGGUAUUAUAAUCUUUCCUUAUCUGAUAAUUAUAAAAAUUUUAUUAGUUCAGUUUAGCUCCAUGUUGAGCUCCAAAAGUAAGUCAGGCAUCGUGAAUAUUUAUGUCUUUUACCUGGCAGAUAGUUUCAUUUCAAUUCAGUGUUAUUUAUUAGUGCCUCGUCCAUUGGCAAAACACUGUAUUGGAAGCAAGGCAAUGAAAAAAAUCCCUUUAUUUGGGGGCAAGUGAUGCGAUUCCUUCACUCUGUAAACAUUUAUUUCAACAUUAUUUUAUGCUAAACAAUGUCAAAGUAUGGGGCCACCACUCAAUGUUUGAAACAAAACUCAGCACAAAGCCACAUUUACUGUCAGGUCAGGCAUAGUCUCUCAGAGUAGACUUUUUUUUUUUUUUUGUCUUUUUGUCUUUUUAGUGUCGCACUGCAGCAUUUGGAGGUUCCCAGGCUAGGGGUCGAAUCAGAGCUGUAGCCUACGCCACAGCCACAGCAAUGCAGGAUCCGAGCCAUGUCUGCAACCUACACCACAGCUCAUGGCAACGCCAGAUCCUUAACCCACUGAGUGAGGCCAGGAAUCGAACUUGUGUCCUCCUGGAUACCACUCAGAUUCGUUUCCGCUGAGCCACGAAGAGAACGCCUCAGAGUAGACUAUUGAGUUUAUUUUUUUUUCCCCAAGCGGGUAAGUAUGGUUUUAGUGAUUUGCAGACUUCAGAGGUCAUGGUUAUUUGGGUGAGAGGACACUCGUUUGGAGGAUAUUCAGAAAGGAGCUUAUGGGAGAGUCUUCUUGACUGGCUGGCUUUCAGAAUCAAGGAGCUCUCACUGAUUGGUUGGCUAAUAGAACAUCUUCUCAGAGCGAGUUGUCAUUGGUUGAUUAAACAGAGUAAAACUAAUUCUGGUGGCUCCUUGUCCCCUGGACCCAUCUGCUCUUUCUCAGGAAUGUGGGAAGUUUUAAAUUAUUAAUUAUUUUUCCCUUUUAAAAAAAAAUUAAAGUAUAAUUGAUUUACAAUGUUGUGCCAAUUUCUGCUGUACAGCAUAGUAACUCAGUCAUAAAUAUAUAUACGUUCAUUUUUUUUUAAAUAUUAUUUUCCAUCGUGGUCUAUCCCAGGAGAUUGGAUAUAGCAUCCUGUGCUAUACAGUAGGACCUUGUUGUUUAUCCAUUCUAACUAUAAUAGUUUGCAUGUACUAACCCCCAACUCCCAGUCCAUCCCACUCCCUCCCCUCCCUCCGGCAACCGCAAUUCUGUUCUCUAUGUCUAUGAGUCUGUUUCUAUUUUAUCAAUAGGUUGAUUUGUGCCAUAUUUUAGAUCCCACAUGUAAGUGAUAUCAUAUGGUAUUUGUCCUUCUCUGCCUGGCUUACUUCACUUAGUAUGAUCAUCUCUAAUUUCAUCCAUGUCUCUAGAACUACUAUAUAAUCCAGCAGUCCCACUCCUGGGCAUAUAUCCAGACAAAGCUAUAAUUCAGAAAGAUACAUGCACCCCUGUGUUUAUAGCAGCACUAUUCACAAUAGCCAUGACAUGGAAAUAACCUAAAUGUCCACUGACAGAUGAAUGGAUGAAAAAAAUGUGGUACAUAUAUACAAUGGAAUAUUACUCAGCCAUAAAUUAUUAAUUCUGUACCAGCUCUGUCCAAAAAAAUGUAGUAACGGUCACAUCAUUUUAAACUUUCUAAUAACCAUAUUAAGAAAAGUUUUUAAAAUAGGUGAAAUUAGUUUUUAAAAUAUUUUUAUUUAACCCAAUAUGUCGUUUUAACCUGUGAUCAUGAUACAAGUUGUUAAUGUGGUAUUCUACAUUCUUCUUUCCAUACCAAGUCUUCAGAAUCUGGUGUGUAUUUUUAUACUUAAAGCACAUCUCGGUUCAGACUAGCCAGAUGGAAAGAUUUGGUUGUGCCAUGUGGCUAUGGCCUCCAUUUUAGACAAUGCCAUCCUGUACUAGCUGCUGGGGACACAAGGAUGGAGAGAAGGAUGUGCUGCCCUCCAGGGUCGCAGAGUCUCAAAGAGGCACAGCCACGUAAACACACACACUAUAGUGCUCUGUUCAGAAUCAGCACUAGGCUGAGGCAAGCAAGGCACACACACAAUAUUUUAGGACCCGUUCACUCUCAGGGUUGCACAGGUGCAGGGUCUGCCCCCACAGUGAGUGCCCCCUCGACUUGUUACACCCCAAGUGCCUCAUUAGUCUCACCCUUGUCCCAGCCCUGCUUGGCAGCCUGAUAUGAUGGCAGAUUCUGGAGCCCCCAUCCCAGAGCUUAGAAUUCAGAGGAUCUCAGGUAGGGUCUCCGAAUCUGGAGUUUCAGGAAGCACCCCUAGGGAUUCUAAUGCAGGGGUUUAAGAUCACUCUUUUCAGAAACUCUGCCUGUGCCAAGACCCUCAUAGGAGAGGUCCUUCACAUCAGUGAAGUUAAGUUCUGUCUCUUUCUUUGGUUUGGGGAGUAGAUGUGGUUGAACUCAUCAAUUCCCUGUCUGAAUGGGGUUUGGGGGGCUACAGUGGGAUUCUGAACUCCCUCUGGUAGAGGGCUCCUGAGUUGCUGGGCUCUGAGUUGCUGGGCUUUUGGCCUGAAAGGAUGGUGGAUUGAACAAACUAGAAUGCUAGUUUACUGUUAAACAGACACAAUGACUAUUUCAGGGAGAAAACUGUAAAAGGCAUGUGGUGGUGUUGUCAACAAGCGUGUGGAAGGAACUGCAUUGCUUGAGAUGGAAGAGAGCAGAGACUGAGCACUGCGUUCACUUGGGGCCACUGUACCUUGUGGGGUUGGUUUGACCCUGUCCAAGGCUCUCCUGUCUUGCCCACACCCUAGUCAUGUGCCUGAGUUUAAUGAUGCUCAAAUAGAAAAGGCAGCUGUCUCUGUACCGUCAGAUUGUAGGGCACUCAGACUGCUAUUCUAGGCUGUGGAAUUCAUGUCACAGUCCUGAAUUUUCAGGUGCGUUUAUUUGGAGUGAGAAGCAGCCCCAAAUGAGGAGUGUCUGACUUUUUGUAUGCGUGUCUGUGCUUCUGUUCCCAGAUCUCCCCCUUGGUGUGCUUCCUGCUAUCUCCGGCAGCUUCGUUUAUCACUGGACAGGUGGUGGAUGUGGAUGGAGGCCAAUCUCUGAAUCUGCAAGGCUUUGAGAUAGCAGAUCAUGACAACUGGCCUGAAGGAGCGGGGGACCUUUCAGUUGUCAAAAGGAUGAAGGAGUCUUACAAGAAGAGAGCCAAGCUCUAAGCUAAGGAAACAUGGAAGUGUCCUUUGUCCCCAAGUGCCUUAACAUCUUGAGCAUGUACUUCUGUACUUUAUGGGAACUUAAUUUGCUUUUUUAAUAUUAUCAAUUACAACUAUGCAAAAACUCUUGCUAAAAUAAAUGCAUUUUCUUUUGGCCACGCCUGUGGCAUGUGGACGUUCCCCAGGCCAGGGAACAAAACUGUGCCACAGCAGUGACCCGAGCCACUAUAGUGACAAUGCUGGGAUCCUUAACCCACCUUGCCACAAGAGGAUCAAUAAAUGCAUUUUUAAGUCCCAACCAAUGCCCUUCAACUUGUGAUCAGAAACAUUUUUGAUGAAUGGGAGUUCCUGACGUAGUUCAGUGGUUGAUGAACCCGACUAAUAUCCAUGAGGAUGUGGGUUCAAUCUCUGGUUCUGCUCAGUGGGUUAAGAAUCCAGCAUUGCCAUGAACUGUGGUGUAAGUUGCAGAUGUGGCUCGUAUCUGGCGUUGCUGUGGCUGUAGGUCAGCAGCUACAGCUCUUGUUCGAUCCCUAGCCUGGGAACCUCCACAUGAUGUGGGUGCGGCCCCACCAAAAAAAAAUUUUAGCAAUAGAAAUCAACAUGCGUUGUGCUUUUUUUAAUUCUAAGAAAGGUAUUUGAAAAGUGAAAUAAUUUCAAAUUAAUGACAGAGGUACCAUCAUCUCCCAAAAGAUUUGAAUAUUUAAUUAUAAAGGUAGGCAAUAAAUCUAUUGUGGCAUCAUUUGAUUUUUACAGCAGAAAUAUACCAUGACUCACUGGUGGCACUUUUGGAUUAAUAAAACUGUAUGUGAUAAUUGAGGUAUGAUUUGUUCACGAAGUCAAAUCUGUGUAAGUCCUCUUAACUGAAAAGAAAAAUAAAGUCCUAAGGAGUACUUUUU
ensembl:lncRNA